rnacentral:tRNA from 1 species
AGAGGCUUAGGAUAGCGCUAGACCAAAAGCCUUCAAAGCUUUAAGCGGGGGUUAAAAUCCCCCAGCCCCUG